UUCAAAAAGGACUUAUCUGUACCUCUUCCUCUUUCCCUCCUGCUCCUCACUCCGUAGGAUCCCAAGACAUAAAGCUGCAACUGCCAUCGCAGCUAAGGAAAACAGCCUUGUUUUUAAGUUCUUUUUUUCUAAGCUAAAACUAUCUCCUCUGUCUCCCUGGCUGCUUCUGGCCAGAUAGUGGUGACAGGGAGCCAGGGGACAUAGAAAUUAUAGCAGGUGGCGCCCGAACUGGGGCUCUGAGAGACCCCCAAAAACUGGCUGGAAACACACGUGUGUUUUGCAAGCCUGGAACGUCAACUACCUUGAAAAGCUAAACAAAUAUAGCCUACAAGGGAGGAAUCAGUAGCCUUCUCAAGCCCAGAGAAAGUCGAUUCACAAAGAAGAAGUUAUUACUGCUCAACAACGUAGGAGAGAUCUAAUUGUUGGAAGUCAUUGAAGUGGACUUGCAGGACGAUUCACAAGACCUGGCUGGACUGGAUAAGUAAAAGUAAGUGGAAAAGAAGCACCGAGUCUGUUACCAGAGACUUGCUUCCCCCCGCAUCCCAAGAGGAGGUUUUGACUACAGCACAGACAGACAACAAGACACAGAUCACCUUGGCUUUCCAACUAGCCGGAGCAGAGAGGUCUUCCUGGACUGUUUUCUUUCCCUUUCCUUGGAACGGAUCGAACCUGCUUUGGACUGGGGACUCGGGGGAGCAGUGGGAGCUUGCACCCGUGGACUACCGGGAGCCCAGCCUGGGCAGCGGCAUUUUCCAGCACCAGAGGGACUGAUAACAGAGCGAACACCCACAGGAAAGAGAUCCUCUGAAUUUUGUCACCUUUUCACAGUGGCGAAAGGUUUUGUAAUUUGAUAUUGUUCAUUCUUGUGCUGGAUAGUGCUGUGCCUGUGAAAUAAACAGGUUUUUUCCACUUCUCCCAGAGAAAUCUCUUCCCAAACAGGUUGUGGGGUGGGAGAAAGGGGCCAUGUGGGUUUGCUUCCCGGGGGAGGCCCCUUGGAGGUUUUCUCCCAAAUUUGCCCUAAACCAGGACAAGAAGGAUCACCCCAGGUAGAAGAACUGGCUAUGGCCGUAAGAGCCUUUGAGAAGUUUUCAGAACCAAUUAAUUUAGUUACUGACUCAGCCUACGUAGCAGGAGUGGUGUCAAGAGCAGAGCAGGCAGUUCUCAAGGACAUUGAGAAUGAACAUCUCUUCAGAUUGCGUUCAAAACUGAUUUAUUUGGUUUCAACUCAAGAGCAUCCUUUCUAUGUGAUGCACAUAAGAUUGCAUACCCAUUUGCCAGGUGAAAUCGCUGAGGGGAACUGGAAGGCCGAUUCCCUUGCUGCCCCAGCUGAAAAGGAACGUCUCCCAGAUGUGUUCCAACAGGCCAAGCUGAAUCAUCAGCAAUACCAUCAAAAUGUGCCAGGACUGAUUCGUCAGUUCCAGCUGACACAGGAUCAGGCUAAAGCCAUUGUGGCUACCUGUCCCAAUUGCCAGCUCCAGGCAGAGCCAUCAUUAGGCAUCGGGGUUAAUCCCCGAGGCCUUAAGAGCUGUGAGGUGUGGCAGACAGAUAUCAUUCACAUUCCCAGUUUUGGUCAUCUUAAGUAUGUACAUGUGAGCAUUGAUACAUACUCAGGUGCAGUGUAUGCCUCUGCUCAUGCAGGAGAAAAAUAUGUACAUGCCAAACAACACUUAGUACAGGCCUUUGCAGUGCUGGGGAUCACUAAGGAAAUUAAAAUAGAUAAUAGCCCAGCAUAUAAAUCC